CCUACGGGAGGCAGCAGUGAGGAAUAUUGGUCAAUGGCCGGAAGGCUGAACCAGCCAAGCCGCGUGAAGGACGAAGGUGCCAAGCAUUGUAAACUUCUUUUGUCAAGGGACAAAAUCAGGCUCGAGAGCCUGACCGAGGGUACUUGAAGAAAAAGCAUCGGCUAACUCCGUGCCAGCAGCCGCGGUAAUACGGAGGAUGCGAGCGUUAUCCGGAUUUAUUGGGGUGAAAGGGUGCGUAGGCGGGCUGUUAAGUCAGCGGUAAAAGCCCGGGGCUCAACCCCGGCGAGCCGUUGAAACUGGCGGUCUUGAGAUGUCGAGAGGUAUGCGGAAUGCGCGGUGUAGCGGUGAAAUGCUUAGAUAUUGCGCAGAACUCCGAUUGCGAAGGCAGCAGACCGGCGGCGAUCUGACGCUGAGGCACGAAAGCGUGGGUAUCGAACAGGAUUAGAUACCCUUGUAGUC
rnacentral:rRNA from 1 species